CUUUGAGAAUCCUUUUUCCUUUUCAAAUAUUUUUUAAUAGAAAAGGUAAGUUUCACCCCUUGCUAAAGAAAUUUAAGCAAAAGGUAAAUUCAUCACACUGCUAAAAAACGAUGAGUAACUUAAAAAAAAUAGAGAAACAAAAGAUGUGCCAGCAGUUGCGGUGAUACCCCUUCUCUUACUUAAAUUUUUCUCCAGAGAUAUUAUAUUAAUAUUAUUGUCUUAAAAUUGUUUUUAUGAAAGCCUCUUUAAUAAGAAAUGGAAAAAAAAGAAUUAAAGACAUAAUAAAUAGCUCUAAAAAUGGAUUAAACAAACUUCCAUUUGAUACGGAAUUAUGUCCAUCUAAUUAAAGGAAGAUAACAAAAAUAUUUGGCGGUUCUAAAUAUUUUUUUAGGGAAACUUGUCUUUUAAAUGAUAAUACGCAAAAAAUUGACUUUUUUUUACAGUUUCUAUAUUAUUGUUUGAAGUUUUUUAAGAAAAAAUUCUAAUGCUUACAACCAAGCGAAAAAACAAAUCAAUAUGGUGCCUAGAAAGAAGAUAGGAGGAGUGAUAAAAUAACUAUAAUGAUAGUUAAUAAAACUUUCUGAAAAAAAAGAAAUAAAAAGAACUUAAAAGUAAUGAAAUAAAUAUUAUGAUUUCAUAAAUAAGAAACUUAGAGUGCACAUACUGCCCAACAAUUCCAUUUUUACUUGGAAUAAGUUGCCACAAGGUUAAUUUACGGAAAUGUGAAUUAAGAAUUAC
rnacentral:ncRNA from 1 species